rnacentral:lncRNA from 1 species
GCACCCUGCUGAACAGAACUCCAAACAGAGGAGUAGCAAAAUGGGAGGAAGGUGCUGUGACUAAAUGAAGGAAGGCUGAGGGGUUAAAAUCAUUGCUGGGUGAUUUCACCACUACUGCCCCAUAUUCAUACUCUCGGUAAAUGAAUGAGGAGAGCCCCAUGUGGGAUUACAAACUUGCUGGAAAUGGAUGAGAAACCUUCUGCUCUGCUGGAGUUUAUCUUGAGUGUGCCUUAAAAUUCCAUUUCAUGGAGAACUGUGCGUGGUUGAAUUUUGAUUGAUUACUCAAUUAACUGAUGUAUUGGUAGAGUGAUUAAGAAAGAAGACUUUGGGAUCAGACCAACCUGGUUUUGAAUUCAAGCUCAGCAACUUACUAGGUAAGGAGGAGAAAAGAAAGAAGGAAAAAUUGGAAAGAUAAAUGGGGUCUUUCCAGUGAAGGCCUUUGGACUUGGACUGGAACUAAACCAUCAGCUCUUCUUGUUCUACCACUUGCAGACUGUAUGUCUUGGGACAUGUCAGCCUCUGUAAUCACGCUCAAUUUUCCUACAUAAUUAAGAGUUUGGAAUUCGGGCAAUAUCAAGAACCACAUCUGUCCUGAAAUCAAUUAUCUCUGUUUGAAACACAAGAAAUAAGAAGACCAUUUUGAGAAGAACAGAGAGUAGCCUUAAGAAAAUCCCUGUCGCAAGCACUCUGGGAUUUGGACUCAAAUGCUAAUUAUACAGAACCACUUGGGUGCCCAGCUGCUGUCCAUUCUCUACACUUAUCCCACCUGAUGGAAGGCUGUUAAGAAAAACAUCACUGCAAUGCCUAAUAAACAGACAUGGGUCCCAGACCCAAUAAGAGUGAAACCAUCCCCCUAUUUAAAUGAAAUUAUGGCUGAUGAGAAAGACAAAUUAAUUUCUCUGUCCCUAGUAUUACACAAAACUUUGGAUGCUGCCAUUGUUACAAUUUUAUUUUCCCCAGGAGCUCAGAGUCCCACCUUCAUUCUUUUUGUUUAAUGCUUAAGCUUGCCUGUCCACCUAUGGAAGACUAGAAUGAGCAAAGACCAUGUAUUCAAUGAUCUGUAAAUCUAACAGGAAACAAUAUAAUAAAUAUAUUGUGUUUGCUAACCAAA